rnacentral:tRNA from 1 species
AAGACACUAGUAAAAUAGCCAUUACACCACCUUGUCGAGGUGGAGUUGUGGGUUAAACCCCCGCGUGCCUUA